CGCUUCCUACGGGGGGCAGCAGUGAGGAAUAUUGGUCAAUGGGCGCGAGCCUGAACCAGCCAAGUCGCGUGAGGGAAGACGGUCCUAUGGAUUGUAAACUUCUUUUGUCAGGGAGCAAUUGGGUCCACGUGUGGGCUUAGCGAGAGUACCUGAAGAAAAAGCAUCGGCUAACUCCGUGCCAGCAGCCGCGGUAAUACGGAGGAUGCGAGCGUUAUCCGGAUUUAUUGGGUUUAAAGGGUGCGUAGGCGGAAUAUCAAGUCAGC
rnacentral:rRNA from 1 species